rnacentral:tRNA from 1 species
GCCAGUGUGGCAUAGUGGUUUGAGCACUGGACUAUGGCUCUGGAGAUCAGGGUUCAAAUCCCUGCUGAGCCA